ensembl:lncRNA
AAAGAACACCAAGAUCACAGAACUUGUUAGCCUCUUAGAAACAUUUUAGAUAAUAAAACACAUAAUAUCACUAUCAUACAAGAUGUAAACAAGAAAAUGGUGGUAAAGUAUCCAAGGGUCCUCCCUCCUAGCAGGAUCCUCCAUCCCAAUCUUGGGAGAGUGAGAGACCACGAGCCUGGAAGAACAGCCCAGUGGGGAGUGAGUCGAGCCUCCUCUGGGUCCCAGAACCCAGCAACAAGUACUCUCAGAGUAAUUUAUCUGUAAUUAUGGUUUGGAAAACUGGGACAGAGUCGAUGAAAGUCUUAACACUUGAAGUUUCAUCAUGUUCUGUUACAACUUAAAAUUUAGGGAGACAUUCUUAACCCAAGUCUGUCUCUUAAAAUCUCUGGUUCCAGGAUACAAACUAUGAGAAAGAGCAUGUAAAGACAUGCAAAGAACUGGGAAGUGAACUAAAUUUAGAGACUGAAGACAAAGGAUUGGAAUUAUUUCCUUCUUCACAGCUAAUAAACAGUGAUUUCCCGAGUAUUUUAUACUAUACAGAGAAUUCAAAAACUAUUAAUAUUUCUUGUAGUUUCAGAGGCAGGAAGCCAUAAUAUAAUGAACAAAAUCUUGAAUAUUUAUUCAAAUAGACUUAAUAGUAAAUUAAAAUUUUGUAAUUUAAUUGGUAGGUGAAUCUACGUAACUUUUCUAUGUGACGGUCCGAUUACUCAUUAGGGAAAUGGAUAUAAUAUUACCUUUUAGGGGAUUUAUGAAUUUUAAUAACAUGAAUGAAUACUUUAGAACAGUCCAGGGCACGCAAUAGGUGUCAGAGAAAUUUUUUUUUCUGAUUUUGUAAUAAAAUAUUCCUG